UCUCCGUAGGUGAACCUGCGGAGGGAUCAUUACAGAGUUCAUGCCCUACCGGGUAGAUCUCCCACCCUAUGAUAUUAUUACUUUGUUGCUUUGGCGGGCCGUUAGGCUCCGGCCCGACUACCGGCCCCGGCUGGUAAGCGCCCGCCAGAGGACCCAAAACCCUGAAUAUUAGUGUCGUCUGAGUACUAUAUAAUAGUUAAAACUUUCAACAACGGAUCUCUUGGUUCUG
rnacentral:misc_RNA from 1 species